GCAGGCGCGAAACCUUUACACUGUACGCAAGUGCGAUAAGGGGACUCCGAGUGUGAAGGCAUAGAGCCUUCACUUUUGUACACCGUAAGGUGGUGUACGAAUAAGGGCUGGGCAAGACCGGUGCCAGCCGCCGCGGUAAUACCGGCAGCCCGAGUGACGGCCGAUAUUAUUGGGCCUAAAGCGUCCGUAGCUGGCCGGACAAGUCCGUUGGGAAAUCUGUUCGCUUAACGAGCAGGCGUCCAGCGGAAACUGUUCGGCUUGGGACCGGAAGACCUGAGGGGUACGUCCGGGGUAGGAGUGAAAUCCUGUAAUCCUGGACGGACCACCGGUGGCGAAAGCGCCUCAGGAGGACGGAUCCGACAGUGAGGGACGAAAGCUAGGGUCUCGAACCGGAUUAGAUACCCGGGUAGUCCUAGCUGUAAACGAUGCCCGCUAGGUGUGGCGCAGGCUACGAGCCUGCGCUGUGCCGUAGGGAAGCCGAGAAGCGGGCCGCCUGGGAAGUACGUCUGCAAGGAUGAAACUUAAAGGAAUUGGCGGGGGAGCACUACAACCGGAGGAGCCUGCGGUUUAAUUGGAUUCAACGCCGG
rnacentral:rRNA from 1 species